CUGGUUUAGUGUAAUUUUCUACUAAACAUUAGCAAAUGUUACAUAAUUAUAAGAAAAUGCUAAAUGGGAUUAAUAGUUGUUGAGUUGUACAAAAUGAGUUAUUAAUGAUAUCAAGCUAUCAAAUUGGGGGAUAUGGUUUGUUUCUCAUCCCAAAAAGAUGCGUCGAUGUUAUCUCGUGAAUACAAGAAAAAAGAAAAAAACUGAGAAAGAAACAAGAUUAUAAACAAAGUUUAUGUUACCUCCCCA
rnacentral:lncRNA from 1 species